GCUUACUUUCCAAAUAAAAGGUCUUACACUCCAUUUCUGGAGGAGAGAUUCAGACUGGGGAGGGCUGUCUUAGCAACCAGGUCAGCCUUGCCAUUAAUAGAAAAGGAAAUUACAUCAAAAGAUAGACUAAAAUGAUAGAUGUCAAACAGUUUCGGGCGUGAUUCCUUAGCUCUCAUCAAGGUGAUUAGAACUUGGGAAUCCGAUAGAAC
rnacentral:lncRNA from 1 species